AGUGCACACUGUUAAAGCUCAGAUUGGAGGCCAGUCUUGGCCAGUGAGCUUCUGAGUGUUGGAGGUGAGCUACAUUGAGAUGGCAGGAUUUUUGCUAACACCAGUAGAGCCUGCCUCAAUGACUGGAGUUUGGUAGAGGUCACUGCUACAUAC
ensembl:snoRNA SNORA62 Small nucleolar RNA SNORA62/SNORA6 family